ACCUGGUUGAUCCUGCCAGUAGUCAUAUGCUUGUCUCAAAGCUUAAGCCAUGCAAGUGUAAGUUCACGCCACGCAUUAGAACGGGCGAAACCGCGAAUGGCUCAGGAACCGGACCUAAUCCUCGGGACCGUAAUCCUCCUCGGAGGCGAUGGAUAACUGUGGCAAUUCUAGAGCUAAUACAUGUGACACAGGCCGCGAUCGGCCGUCGCGCCGUGGUCGCCUCGCCUUCAUUGCGCGCUGGCACCCGCGGCGGCCGUCUUGGGUCGCGGCGCUACAUAUUAGACUGAGACCGAUGCGCGAUUCCCGUCCUCCCGUCUGCCGUGGGCUUCGGUUCGCGUGCCGGCGGGACCAAAGGGCGGCGCGCUCCGCUUUGGUGACUCUGGAUAACUCACUGGUCGAUCGCACGGGCUCAACGCCCGGCGACGGGUCCCCCGAGGGUCCGCCCUAUCAACUGUCGACGGUCGGUUAAGUGCCUACCGUGGUUACUACGGGUAACGGGGAAUCGGGGUUCGAUUCCGGAGAGGGAGCAUGCGAAACGGCUACCACAUCCAAGGAAGGCAGCAGGCGCGCAAAUUACCCACUCCCGGCACGGGGAGGUAGUGACGAAAAAUAACGACGCGGGACUCUGUCGAGGCCCCGCGAUCGGAAUGAGUACACUUCAAAUCCGUUAACGAGGACCAACCGGAGGGCAAGUCUGGUGCCAGCAGCCGCGGUAAUUCCAGCUCCGGUAGCGUAUAUUAAAGUUGUUGCGGUUAAAAAGCUCGUAGUCCGAACUCGGGUUCGUGGUCGCUCGCGCGGCCCCGGGGCGGCGGCGCCAUCGUCCAUCGUUGACUUUGGUCGUCCGUUCGCAUUCCCGGCCCUUUCCGCCGGUGUCGAUCGCUACAUAGACGGCCGCGGGCUAGCUGGCGGUGGGCGCGUCGUCGGCGUUCGGUUUCGGUUCGCGUUGGGGAGGCUCUCGGGUUCGUCCCGUCUGCCGACUCGGCGCGCGCCGCUCUUCCUUGCUCCGUCUUCCGGGCUCUCGGGCCCCCCGCCACCACGCGACCCCGCGUCGCCGUCGGCGAUUUCUCCUCCAAGGGUGCUCUUAACCGAGUGUCCGCGGCGGCCGGUACGUUCACUUUGAAAAAAUUAGAGUGCUCAGAGCGGGCUGUUCAAGCUUGCAUACGAUAAGCAUGGAAUGAUGGAAGAGGGCCUCGUCUACGUCUGUCGGUCUCCGUCUACGGCGAGGCAAUGAUCGAAGGGAGCGGUCGGGGCCACUCGUAUUGCGACGUUAGAGGUGAAAUUCUUGGAUCGUCGCAAGACGAACUGCAGCGAUGGCGUGUGGCAAGCACGUUUUCCUCGAUCAAGAGCGAAAGUCGGAGGUUCGAAGACGAUCAGAUACCGUCGUAGUUCCGACCGUAAACGAUGCCGACCGGCGAUCCGCCGGCGUUCGCUUCCAUGACCCGGCGGGUAGCCUGCGGGAAACCAGAGUUCGGUUCCGGGGGGAGUAUGGUUGCAAAGCUGAAACUUAAAGGAAUUGACGGAAGGGCACCACCAGGAGUGGAGCCUGCGGCUUAAUUUGACCCAACACGGGAAAACUCACCCGGUCCGGACACCGGUAGGAUUGACAGAUCGAUAGCUCUUUCUCGAUUCGGUGGGUGGUGGUGCAUGGCCGUUCUUAGUUGGUGGAGCGAUCCGUCUGGUUGAUUCCGAUAACGAACGAGACUCCGGCCUGCUAACUAGUGCGCCGAUGUGAGUGCGGCCCUCAGCUGGUCGUGUGCGGGCUGCGCGUCGGGGGCGGUCGAUUUUUGAUCGCCGUCUCCGCUCGCGUGUCCGGGUCGGUUUCUCACGCACUUCUUAGAGGGACGGGUGGCAGAAAGCCACACGAGGCGGAGCGAUAACAGGUCUGUGAUGCCCUUAGAUGUCCGGGGCCGCACGCGCGCUACACUGGAGGUAUCAGCGGGGACUUCGCCCCGGCCCGAGAGGGUCGGGAAACCUCUCAACCACCUCCCGUGAUAGGGAUCGGGGCCUGUAACCAACCCCGUGAACGAGGAAUUCCCGGUAGGCGCGGGUCAACAGCCCGCGUCGAUCACGUCCCUGCCCUUUGUACACACCGCCCGUCGCUACUACCGAUCGAACGGUCCGGUGAGGUCCUCGGAUCUGGCCGACGACGCCGCCGGGCGCGGUCCUUCGGGUCCCGCCUCGGCGUUCGAUGCCUGGAGAAGACGACCGAACCCGAUCGUUUAGAGGAAGUAAAAGUCGUAACAAGGUUUCCGUAGGUGAACCUGCGGAAGGAUCAUUA
rnacentral:rRNA from 1 species